CACGGGGGGAGCAAGCGUUGUUCGGAAUCACUGGGCGUAAAGGGCGUGUAGGCGGUCAGGUAAGUGGAAUGUGAAAGCCCUCGGCUCACCCGAGGAUCUGCAUUCCAAACUGCCUGGCUUGAGUAUGGGAGAGGAUGAGGGAAUUCCUGGUGUAGCGGUGAAAUGCGUAGAUAUCAGGAGGAACACCGGUGGCGAAGGCGCUCAUCUGGCCCAAUACUGACGCUGAGGCGCGAAAGCUAGGGGAGCAAACGGG
rnacentral:rRNA from 1 species